AGAUGUUGGGUUAAGUCCCGCAACGAGCGCAACCCUUAUCAUUAGUUGCUACGCAAGGGCACUCUAAUGAGACUGCCGGUGACAAACCGGAGGAAGGUGGGGAUGACGUCAGGUCAUCAUGGCCCUUAUGGGUAGGGCUACACACGUCAUACAAUGGCCGGUACAGAGGGCUGCCAACUCGCGAGAGGGAGCUAAUCUCAGAAAACCGGUCGUAGUCCGGAUCGCAGUCUGCAACUCGACUGCGUGAAGUCGGAAUCGCUAGUAAUCGCGGAUCAGCUUGCCGCGGUGAAUACGUUCCCGGGUCUUGUACACACCGCCCGUCACACCAUGGGAGCGGGUUCUGCCAGAAGUAGUUAGCCUAACC
rnacentral:rRNA from 1 species